GAGAGCCGUAUGCAUUGAAAGGUGCACGUACGGUUCGGAGGGGGAGUAACGGUGAUUCAGCUCGAUUGGCAAUGGAACUAUUCAUUAACCAUAUUGAAAGGUCACACGUACCCUACCCUAC
rnacentral:ncRNA from 1 species